UACGGAGGGGGCGAGCGUUAUUCGGAAUUAUUGGGCGUAAAGGGCGCGUAGGCGGCUUGGCAAGUCAAAGGUGAAAUCCCUCGGCUCAACUGAGGAACUGCCUUGAAACUGCCUGGCUUGAGGCCGGGAGGGGGUAGCGGAAUUCCCAGUGUAGCGGUGAAAUGCGUAGAUAUUGGGAGGAACACCAGUGGCGAAGGCGGCUACCUGGACCGGUUCUGACGCUGAUGCGCGAAAGCGUGGGGAGCGAACAGG
rnacentral:rRNA from 1 species